AUUGAACGCUAGCGGCAGGCCUAACACAUGCAAGUCGAACGAGUGGCGGACGGGUGCGUAAUGUCUGGGAAACUGCCUGAUGGAGGGGGAUAACUACUGGAAACGGUAGCUAAUACCGCAUACCAUCAGAUGUGCCCAGAUGGGAGUAGCUAGGUGGUGGGGUAACGGCUCACCAGGGCGACGAUCCCUAGCUGGUCUGAGAGGAUGACCAGCCACACUGGAACUGAGACACGGUGCAGACUCUUACGGGAGGGAGCAGAGGGUAAUAUUGCAGAAUGGGCGCAAGCCUGAUGCCGCCAUGCCGCGUGUAUGAAGAAGGCCUUCGGGUUGUAAAGUACUGUCAGCGGGGAGGCGUUACCCGCAGAGGAAGCACCGGCUAACUCCGUGCCAGCAGCCGCGGUAAUAC
rnacentral:rRNA from 1 species